rnacentral:rRNA from 1 species
ACGGUACCGUAAGAAUAAGCACCGGCUAACUACGUGCCAGCAGCCGCGGUAAUACGUAGGGUGCGAGCGUUAAUCGGAAUUACUGGGCGUAAAGCGUGCGCAGGCGGUUAUGUAAGACAGUUGUGAAAUCCCCGGGCUCAACCUGGGAAUUGCAUCUGUGACUGCAUAGCUAGAGUACGGUAGAGGGGGAUGGAAUUCCGCGUGUAGCAGUGAAAUGCGUAGAUAUGCGGAGGAACACCGAUGGCGAAGGCAAUCCCCUGGACCUGUACUGACGCUCAUGCACGAAAGCGUGGGGAGCAAACAGGAUUAGAUACCCUGGUAGUCCACGCCCUAAACGAUGUCAA